rnacentral:rRNA from 1 species
GACGAACGCUGGCGGCGUGCUUAACACAUGCAAGUCGAACGGUAAGGCCUUUCGGGGUACACGAGUGGCGAACGGGUGAGUAACACGUGGGUGAUCUGCCCUGCACUUCGGGAUAAGCCCGGGAAACUGGGUCUAAUACCGGAUAGGACUGCGCGGUGCAUGCCGUGUGGUGGAAAGAUUUAUCGGUGCAGGAUGGGCCCGCGGCCUAUCAGCUUGUUGGUGGGGUAAUGGCCUACCAAGGCGACGACGGGUAGCCGGCCUGAGAGGGCGACCGGCCACACUGCGACUGAGACACGGCCCAGACUCCUACGGGAGGCAGCAGUGGGGAAUAUUGCACAAUGGGCGCAAGCCUGAUGCAGCGACGCCGCGUGAGGGAUGACGGCCUUCGGGUUGUAAACCUCUUUCAGCAGGGACGAAGCGUGAGUGACGGUACCUGCAGAAGAAGCACCGGCCAACUACGUG